rnacentral:misc_RNA from 1 species
AACAUCGCGCACCUGCGGGAACCUGCGGAAGGAUCAUUACACAAUAAACAUAUGAAGGCUGCACCGCCAACAGGCGGCAAGGCUGGAGUAUUUUAUUACCCUUGUCUUUUGCGCACUUGUUGUUUCCUGGGCGGGUUCGCCCGCCUCCAGGACCACAUGAUAAACCUUUUUUAUGCAGUUGCAAUCAGCGUCAGUACAACAAAUGUAAAUCAUUUACAACUUUCAACAAUGGAUCUCAGA